CGUAGGUGGCAAGCGUUGUCCGGAUUUAUUGGGUUUAAAGGGUGCGUAGGCGGUCCUAUAAGUCAGUGCUGAAAUAUCCCGGCUUAACCGGGAGGGUGGCAUUGAUACUGCAGGACUUGAGUAAAGUUGAGGUUGGCGGAAUUGACGGUGUAGCGGUGAAAUGCUUAGAUAUCGUCAAGAACACCUAUUGCGAAGGCAGCUAACUAAGCUUUAACUGACGCUGAGGCACGAAAGUGUGGGGAUCAAACAGGAUUAGAUACCCUGGUAGUCCACACUGUAAACGUUGAUUACUCGAUGUUGGCGAUACACAGCCAGCGUCUUAGCGCAAGCGAUAAGUAAUCCACCUGGGGAGUACGCCGGCAACGGUG
rnacentral:rRNA from 1 species